CACCGAACUCCAACCCGAACAUACAGUGAUAUGUCGGUGUUCGGGUCUGGGGUCCAAAAAACCUAAUGUUCGGUACGAACCCGAACUUUUCAGUUCGGGUUCGCUCAACUCUAGUUCCAACUUCUGCUUAAAAAAAUAUUUUCUAUCACCUAUGGAAAUACAAAAAUUGUGGAAGAGGAAAUAAUAGGUUUUCUAGACGAAAC